UACGUAGGGUGCAAGCGUUAAUCGGAAUUACUGGGCGUAAAGCGUGCGCAGGCGGUUCGCUAAGACCGAUGUGAAAUCCCCGGGCUUAACCUGGGAACUGCAUUGGUGACUGGCGGGCUAGAGUAUGGCAGAGGGGGGUAGAAUUCCACGUGUAGCAGUGAAAUGCGUAGAGAUGUGGAGGAACACCGAUGGCGAAGGCAGCCCCCUGGGCUAACACUGACGCUCAGGCACGAAAGCGUGGGGAGCAAACAGG
rnacentral:rRNA from 1 species